rnacentral:rRNA from 1 species
ACGUAGGGUGCAAGCGUUAAUCGGAAUUAAUGGGCGUAAAGCGUGCGCAGGCAGUUUUAUAAGUCAGAUGUGAAAUCCCCGAGCUCAACUUGGGAACUGCGUUUGAAACUAUAAGACUAGAGUGUGUCAGAGGGGGGUAGAAUUCCAAGUGUAGCAGUGAAAUGCGUAGAGAUUUGGAGGAAUACCAAUGGCGAAGGCAGCCCCCUGGGAUAACACUGACGCUCAUGCACGAAAGCGUGGGGAGCAAACAGG